GUAGGUGGCAAGCGUUGUCCGGAAUUGUUGGGCGUAAAGCGCGCGCAGGCGGGUCCUUUAAGUCUGAUGUGAAAGCCCACGGGCUCAACCGUGGAGGGUCAUUGGAAACUGGGGGACUUGAGUACAGAAGAGGAAAGCGGAAUUCCAAGUGUAGCGGUGAAAUGCGUAGAGAUUUGGAGGAACACCAGUGGCGAAGGCGGCUUUCUGGUCUGUAACUGACGCUGAGGCGCGAAAGCGUGGGGAGCAAACAGGAUUAGAUACCCUGGUAGUCCACGCCGUAAACGAUGAGUGCUAAGUGUUAGGGGGUUUCCGCCCCUUAGUGCUGCAGCUAACGCAUUAAGCACUCCGCCUGGGGAGUACGGCCGCAAAGGCUG
rnacentral:rRNA from 1 species